AUUGAACGCUGGCGGCAGGCCUAACACAUGCAAGUCGAGCGGGGUUUUCGGACCUAGCGGCGGACGGGUGAGUAAUGCGUAGGAAGCUGCCCGAUAGAGGGGGAUACCAGUUGGAAACGACUGUUAAUACCGCAUAAUGUCUACGGACCAAAGUGUGGGACCUUCGGGCCACAUGCUAUCGGAUGCGCCUACGUGGGAUUAGCUAGUUGGUGAGGUAAUGGCUCACCAAGGCGACGAUCUCUAGCUGGUUUGAGAGGAUGAUCAGCCACACUGGAACUGAGACACGGUCCAGACUCCUACGGGAGGCAGCAGUGGGGAAUAUUGGACAAUGGGCGCAAGCCUGAUCCAGCCAUGCCGCGUGUGUGAAGAAGGCCUUCGGGUUGUAAAGCACUUUCAGCGAGGAGGAAGGGUGGUGUGUUAAUAGCACAUCAUUUUGACGAUACUCGCAGAAGAAGCACCGGCUAACUCUGUGCCAGCCGCCGCAGUAAGAC
rnacentral:rRNA from 1 species